rnacentral:tRNA from 1 species
GGAGAAAUAGUUUAGUGGUAGAACAGCAGUCUUCAAAAUUGCUAGUGUGGGUUCGAUUCCUGCUUUCUUCG